rnacentral:rRNA from 1 species
GCAUGCAGUCGAGCGAAGCUUUUCAGUAGUUUACUACAGAAAAUGACUGAGCGGCGAACGGGUGAGUAACGCGUGAGCAAUCUACCUUAGUUACAGGGAUAGCCCGAGGAAACUCGGAUUAAUACCUGAUAUUCUUUAUUUCUCGCAUGAGAAUAAAAGGAAAGGUCAGCCGAACUAAGAUGAGCUCGCGUUCUAUCAGCUAGUUGGUGAGGUAAAAGCUUACCAAGGCUACGACGGAUAGCUGGUCUGAGAGGACGAUCAGCCACACUGGGACUGAGACACGGCCCAGACUCCUACGGGAGGCUGCAGCAGGGAAUAUUGUGCAAUGAACGAAAGUUUGACACAGCGACACCGCGUGUGGGAUGACGGAUCUAGGUUUGUAAACCACUUUCAGGAGGGAAGAAAAUGACGGUACCUCCACAAGAAGCCCCGGCCAACUACGUGCCAGCAGCCGCGGUAAUACGUAGGGGGCGAGCGUUGUCCGGAUUUAUUGGGCGUAAAGAGCUCGUAGGCGGUUCAACAAGUCGGUCGUGAAAGUUCAGGGCUCAACCCUGAAAUGUCGAUCGAUACUGUUGUGACUAGGAUACGGUAGAGGUGAGUGGAAUUCCGAGUGUAGCGGUGAAAUGCGUAGAUAUUCGGAGGAACACCAAUUGCGAAGGCAGCUCACUGGGCCGCUAUCGACGCUGAGGAGCGAAAGCUAGGGGAGCAAACAGGAUUAGAUACCCUGGUAGUCCUAGCUGUAAACGAUGGAUACUAGAUGUAGGAACUGGAUUGACGGUUUCUGUAU